rnacentral:rRNA from 1 species
UACGUAGGGUGCGAGCGUUGUCCGGAAUUACUGGGCGUAAAGCGCACGUAGUCGGCUUUGCAAGUCGGUUGUGAAAUCCCCGGGCUCAACCUGGGAACUGCAUCCGAGACUGCAUUGCUAGAGUAUGGGAGAGGAAAGCGGAAUUUCUGGUGUAGCAGUGAAAUGCGUAGAUAUCAGAAGGAACAUCAGUGGCGAAGGCGGCUUUCUGGACCAAUACUGACGAUCAGGUGCGAAAGCGUGGGGAGCAAACAGG